AGCGCCCCGAGGUGGCUGGACUGAUGCAAGGGUUCAGCCAAUGUCUGCAGGAGGACAGGAGGAGGGGAACCAGCCCUGCUUGCCGUGGGCAGCAGACCCGGGGGCGAACAUUCCAGAAACAGGCUGCAUGCGUUCCGAGGGGAAAGCCCCAAGGGACAGGAAAGGCUGCGGGCCGUCCCGCGCGGAGGAGACACCAGGACCAGCCGGGGAACGGUGCCCGAGCUGCAGGAGAUCCACGAGGAGCCGAUCGGAACCAGCCUUCACUCCGGCCGCGUUUCCAGGGAAGCUGGGGGUGGCAAACCUGGGAAUUCUGGGGACUUCUGUGAGCUUGAAACCAUUUCAAAAUGAAACGUUAAAAAGCA